rfam:Populus trichocarpa scaffold_13_contig_3, whole genome shotgun sequence.
UAAUACAUCAGUGAUAUAUCAUCAUCCAGUUAUGAUAGACCCAUACCUGACUGCUCAAAAUCACUCGUGAGAAUUACUAUAUAAACAAUAAUUUUUUAAAUU